rnacentral:rRNA from 1 species
UACGUAGGUGGCAAGCGUUGUCCGGAUUUACUGGGCGUAAAGAGCGCGCAGGCGGUCGUGCAAGUCGCGUGUGAAAGCCCCCGGCUCAACUGGGGAGGGUCACGCGAUACUGCUCGACUGGAAGGCAGGAGAGGGAAGCAGAAUUCCCGGUGUAGUGGUGAAAUGCGUAGAUAUCGGGAGAAUACCAGUGGCGAAGGCGGCUUCCUGGCCUGUUCUUGACGCUGAGGCGCGAAAGCUAGGGUAGCAAACGGG